UACGGAGGGUGCGAGCGUUGUCCGGAAUCACUGGGCGUAAAGGGCGCGUAGGCGGCCUGAUAAGUAGGGGGUGAAAUCCUGCGGCUUAACCGCAGGGCUGCCUUCUAAACUGUCAGGCUUGAGCACAGUAGAGGCAGGUGGAAUUCCGGGUGUAGCGGUGGAAUGCGUAGAGAUCGGAAGAACACCAGUGGCGAAGGCGGCCCGCUGGGCAGUGGUCUGGACGCUGAAGCGCGACAGCGUGGGGAGCAAACAGGG
rnacentral:rRNA from 1 species